CACGGGGGAGCAAGCGUUGUUCGGAAUCACUGGGCGUAAAGGGUGUCUAGGCGGUCAGGUAAGUGAGAUGUGAAAUGCCCCGGCUUACCCGGGACCUGCAUCUCAUACUGCCUGGCUUGAGUAUGGGAGAGGAUGAGGGAAUUCCUGGUGUAGCGGUGAAAUGCGUAGAUAUUGGGAGGAACACCAGUGGCGAAGGCGGCUCACUGGACCGGAACUGACGCUGAGGCGCGAAGCGUGGGAGCAAACAGG
rnacentral:rRNA from 1 species